CCCCACAAACCCUAAAAGCAGGGCAGGGGGGCUAACCUUGCAAGUCGGGCGGAAACGAGUUAUUUGAACCCUUUGGCGGGAACGAUAACGGGGUUCGACGCGGCGGACGGGGUGAGUAAUGCCUAGGAAAUUGCCCUGAUUGUGGGGGAUAACCCUUGGAAACGGUGGCUAAUCCCGCAUGAUGCCUUGGGGCCAAAGAGGGGGACCUUUGGGCCCUCUCGGGUCCAGGAUAUGCCUAGGUGGGAUUAGCUAGUUGGUGAGGUAAGGGCUCACCAAGGGGACGAUCCCUAGCUGGUUUGAGAGGAUGAUCAGCCACACUGGAACUGAGACACGGUCCAGAUUCCUACGGGAGGCAGCAGUGGGGAAUAUUGCACAAUGGGCGCAAGCCUGAUGCAGCCAUGCCGCGUGUGUGAAGAAGGCCUUCGGGUUGUAAAGCACUUUCAGUCGUGAGGAAGGUAGUGUAGUUAAUAGCUGCAUUAUUUGACGUUAGCGACAGAAGAAGCACCGGCUAACUCCGUGCCAGCAGCCGCGGUAAUACGGAGGGUGCGAGCGUUAAUCGGAAUUACUGGGCGUAAAGCGCAUGCAGGUGGUUUGUUAAGUCAGAUGUGAAAGCCCGGGGCUCAACCUCGGAAUUGCAUUUGAAACUGGCAGACUAGAGUACUGUAGAGGGGGGUAGAAUUUCAGGUGUAGCGGUGAAAUGCGUAGAGAUCUGAAGGAAUACCGGUGGCGAAGGCGGCCCCCUGGACAGAUACUGACACUCAGAUGCGAAAGCGUGGGGAGCAAACAGGAUUAUAUACCCUGGUAGUCCACGCCGUAAACGAUGUCUACUUGUAGGUUGUGGCCUUGCUCCGUGGCUUUCUUAGCUAACGCGUUUAUUAGACCGCCUGGGGAGUACGGUCGCCCGAUUAUAACUCAACUGAAUUAGACGGGGCGCCCGCACAAUUCGUUGGAGCAUGUUGGUUUUAAUUUGAUGCACCGCGCAGAAGCUUAACGCUACUGCUUGACCUCCAGAGAUAGCUUUCCAGAUGAUUGUAUUGGUGGCCUUCCGGGAACUCUGAGACAUGUAAGCAUGCAUGGCCUGCUCUUCAGCUCCCCGUGUUGUGGAAAUGUUGGGUUAAGGCUGCUUCACGCUUCGCUCGCAGCCCUUGUUUCCUUGUUUGCUUAGCGUAGGUAUUGGUCGGGAAUUGCCCAGGCGAGACCUGCCCGGUGAGUAACCCUGGAAGGAAGGCUGUGGACGACGUCAAGUCAUGAUGGCCCUUACGAGUACGGGGUACACACUUGCUACAAUGGCGUUCAUACAGACGGGGCAGCCGGUACCGGUUGCGUGAGUGAGCGGAACUCCCAAUAUAAGUGAACCUUCGGCAUUAUUCCAGGGAUUGGAGUCUGCAACUCGACUCCAUGACAGUCGGAAUCGCUAGUCUUCUUUGGAUCCCCCGUUACGGUAUUGGCCACUUUGAUUUACGAUUUCCGGGCUUUGUUGACACACCGCCCGUCAUUCUCAUGGUGCGUGGGCUGCAAUCAUUCCUUAUUUUUGUUUAACCUUC
rnacentral:rRNA from 1 species